UUAUUUGGUCCCCAUUUCGGGCUCGAGUACGUAACCAAGGAUUUUGAAGCAAAAGAGGUUUGCGAGGCUAUAUUGGUGGCGGUGCUAAGUUUUGGGGUUUCGGCGACGCCAUGACAGCCGCGAGGGAUAUUGUGGUGGAGGAGAGAGAGGCGUAUGGGUACUGUGAGACCUCUCUUUGUCCUUUGGCUUUUUUUUCUUUUCUAUUGCCUCUGUUUCAGGAAGCAUGGAGGCUUGGUGAUAGUGGCUGCUUUGGCUUCUAGGUCGAGGCAAAGUUGGAUAGCUUAUCAGGAGGCUGAGGGGGAGAGUUCUUCAUCGGCCCUUUUGACUCCUGAAGCAAGUCGUGUCCCGCCAUUCCCACCGGAGAUACAGCUACUCAAGAUCAUUUGUUUAUAGCACGGGUUGUCCAAAACUUUUGGCUGGAGUAGUCCAUAUGGAUGCAUGCAAACAGCCAUGUCCAUGUGCAUGAGGGACUACAAUGAAGAUGGGAAGCUCAAAUUCUCCGAAUUUUCUGACUUGAUGAAUGCUUUUGGAAAUCAAUUGGCUGCUGACAAGGUGGGAGAAAUAUCAACGUGAGGAGGAAGCAGCUCUUGGUUUAAGAAAGCGUGUCAGAAAAGUUGUUUCGUAUAGAGAAGCAUAUGUAGCACAUCCAAGUGAAAUGGCCAACGAGGUGUUUUAUCUGAAUUGCUUUCUCUUAUGCUGUUAGGGGUGGAAACUUUAGAAUAAGAGAAGCUUCAAUAUGAUGCAAAUUUUGGGAGAAAUUUUAAAAGCAACACAUUGUAUCUUUGGAAACUCUUAUGCUGAAUUCAUUAUGUAAUGGCAAGGUUGUUCAUGGUGGUAUGUUGAGCUUGUAGCUGGAGGAAGUAAAGUUCAUGCUUGCUGCAAAACCAAGAGUCAGAACAAAAGUAGGAGUGACCCAUAUAUAAGUGGAUUAUUGUGAGUAUUCUGCUGCUAGCUCAACUUGUUCUAAGGAUAAAUGGGUAUGACUCAUUCUUUUAGAAUUAAAGUUAGUUUUCCCUUUAUCUGGCUUCUUUAUAUGAUUGGAUUUUUUCUUUGAAAAAUUUGUAGAGGCCGCAGAGGAUAAUAUCAUUGUGCAUAAUGUUGAUAAAGAAUUUCAAUUUAGAAUUGGCAUGACAUUUGCUAAUGAGGAAGAAGCAUAUAAGACAUACAAUGCAUAUGCAAUUUCCAAGGGAUUUGGAGUGAGAAAAGGAAAAAAGGCUAACAAUAGUAAAGGAAUAUUACGAACAUGCACAUAUCUUUGUAAUUGUGAAGGACACUCUCCAUUGAUCCCACCUCAUGAACAAAGAGAUGUUUAUAGGACUGUGAAGAGAACUGGAUGUGAAGCUUGUAUAAAAUUCAAAAUUGAAAAUGAAGUAUGGAUAGUGGACAAGUUUAAGGAUGUUCAUAAUCACCCUUUCAUCGAUGAUAAACAGAAACACCUCAUACGAUCAUACCGGCACAUGACGAAUACUAAUAAAAGUAUUUUGACUUCUAUGGCUGGAGCUGGUAUAAGGGCUACAAAAUCAUACUCCUAUCUUAGUGGUGAAGCAGGGGGACAGGAGAAUAUUGGCUUUAUUUUACGUGAUUGUCAAAAUUUCUUACAAUCGAAGAGAAGGAACUUGAUUAGUGCGGGUGAUUGUCAAACUCUCAUUAACCAUUUUAAUUGCUUACAAUCAAAUGGAAGUAAUUUUUCUUAUACAUUUCAACUGGAUGAAGAAUAGAGAUUAACCAACUUUUUCUGGUCUGAUGGUGUAUCGAAGCUAGACUAUGAAAGUUUUGGAGAUGUUGUGAUAUUUGAUACAACUUAUCGUACAAAUAAGUACAAUAUGAUAUGUGCUCCUUUUGUUGGAUUGAAUCAUCAUU